rnacentral:rRNA from 1 species
ACACGUGGGUGAUCUGCCCUGCACUCUGGGAUAAGCCUGGGAAACUGGGUCUAAUACCGGAUAGGACCACACACUUCAUGGUGAGUGGUGCAAAGCUUUUGCGGUGUGGGAUGAGCCCGCGGCCUAUCAGCUUGUUGGUGGGGUAAUGGCCCACCAAGGCGACGACGGGUAGCCGGCCUGAGAGGGUGACCGGCCACACUGGGACUGAGAUACGGCCCAGACUCCUACGGGAGGCAGCAGUGGGGAAUAUUGCACAAUGGGCGCAAGCCUGAUGCAGCGACGCCGCGUGAGGGAUGACGGCCUUCGGGUUGUAAACCUCUUUCAGUAGGGACGAAGCGAAAGUGACGGUACCUACAGAAGAAGGACCGGCCAACUACGUGCCAGCAGCCGCGGUAAUACGUAGGGUCCGAGCGUUGUCCGGAAUUACUGGGCGUAAAGAGCUCGUAGGUGGUUUGUCGCGUUGUUCGUGAAAACUCACAGCUUAACUGUGGGCGUGCGGGCGAUACGGGCAGACUAGAGUACUGCAGGGGAGACUGGAAUUCCUGGUGUAGCGGUGGAAUGCGCAGAUAUCAGGAGGAACACCGGUGGCGAAGGCGGGUCUCUGGGCAGUAACUGACGCUGAGGAGCGAAAGCGUGGGUAGCGAACAGGAUUAGAUACCCUGGUAGUCCACGCCGUAAACGGUGGGUACUAGGUGUGGGUUUCCUUCCUUGGGAUCCGUGCCGUAGCUAACGCAUUAAGUACCCCGCCUGGGGAGUACGGUCGCAAGACUAAAACUCAAAGGAAUUGACGGGGGCCCGCACAAGCGGCGGAGCAUGUGGAUUAAUUCGAUGCAACGCGAAGAACCUUACCUGGGUUUGACAUGCACAGGACGUACCUAGAGAUAGGUAUUCCCUUGUGGCCUGUGUGCAGGUGGUGCAUGGCUGUCGUCAGCUCGUGUCGUGAGAUGUUGGGUUAAGUCCCGCAACGAGCGCAACCCUUGUCCUAUGUUGCCAGCGGGUAAUGCCGGGGACUCGUAGGAGACUGCCGGGGUCAACUCGGAGGAAGGUGGGGAUGACGUCAAGUCAUCAUGCCCCUUAUGUCCAGGGCUUCACACAUGCUACAAUGGCCAGUACAGAGGGCUGCGAAGCCGCAAGGUGGAGCGAAUCCCUUAAAGCUGGUCUCAGUUCGGAUUGGGGUCUGCAACUCGACCCCAUGAAGUCGGAGUCGCUAGUAAUCGCAGAUCAGCAACGCUGCGGUGAAUACGUUCCCGGGCCUUGUACACACCGCCCGUCACGUCAUGAAAGUCGGUAACACCCGAAGCCAGUGGCCUAACC